AGCCUUGGGAAUUAAUCCAAGGUAAGUCCUGCCCGGUGAUAAAUUUUAACGGCCGCAGUACCCUGACUGUGCUAAGGUAGCGUAAUCAGUUGACUUUUAAAUGGAGUCGAGAAUGAAUGGGUCUUUGGGGAGAAGCUGUCUCAACUUUACUAGUUUGAAUUUGUUUAUAGGGUGAAAAUACCCUAGAGUAGAAAAAAGACGAGAAGACCCUUAGAGUCUUUAUAAUUAAGUUUAGUAGUUGCUAAUUUAUUUUUGUUGGGGCGACAACGAGGCAAAUUUAACCCUCGGUAUUUAUUAUGUACAGGACGAUCUUAAUAAGUAAGACAAGACUACCUUAGGGAUAACAGCAUAAUGUUUUUUUAAGCUUGUGACCUCGAUGUUGGACUAGGAACCUUAGGACUAGCCGUCAUAAGGGAAGGUUCUGUUCGAACUUUUACUCCU
rnacentral:rRNA from 1 species